GACGAACGCUGGCGGCGUGCUUAACACAUGCAAGUCGAACGGAAAGGCCCUGCCUUUGUGGGGUGCUCGAGUGGCGAACGGGGGAGUAACACGUGAGUAACCUGCCCUUGACUUUGGGAUAACUUAAUGAAACUGGGGCUAAUACCGGAUAGGAGCUCCUGCUUCAUGGUGGGGGUUGGAAAGUUUCGGGUGUUGGUUAUGGACUCGCGGCGCAUCAGCUUGUUGGUUGGGUAGUGGCUUACCAAGGCCUUGACGGGUAGCCGGGCUGGGAGGGUAAGAGGACAAAUUAGGCCUGAGAUGAGGCACAGACCACAAUGGGAGGGAAGGGAGGAGAAUGGUGUAUAGUAGGCGGGACGAUAAUGCGGUAAAGCCAUGUGGGGGAUGAGGUGCAGCGGGUUGUAAAGCACUUUUGCCUGUGACGAAACGUGAGUGACGGUAAUGGGUGAAGAAGCACCGGCUAACUACGUG
rnacentral:rRNA from 1 species